CUCGGUUGCUCCAGGGCAACCCGUCUGCUAUUAUCCAAUCCCUAACUUUCAAAUCCACCGUCUUCAUCUCUCCCACUCUCGAAAAAUCUGUUUUUGUCAAGCUCUCAAUUACAAGACCAAAGUAAACCACCACUUCCUAAACAAGAAAGACUUUUUCUUUUCCCCUGCAACAACAAACAGUUGCAGCAAAGAGCAAGAAAACAAGAAAACCAACAAUACCAAUUCAUACCCACAUCAAAAUCAUGCCUUUGUUACUCAAUUUCAUUCUUAAUAUCUAUGAGCAUGUGCUUGACACAUAAUGAUACACAUGGCAAAACUAUAUACAUAUCAGCAAAAAAACGGAGUCAAAUCGCCAACUCAGCACUUCCGUCCGUUUUUUGGACGAAAAUCGAACGGAAUGACUAUUUGGUAAGUUUUUGAGAGUACAAUUAUUCGAUUGUAACAAAAAAAAGUUUCGGUAACCACAAUGAAAAUCGAACCCCAGUACGGUGACCAAAACGUUAUUUAUCCCGAUAAAGCAGGUAUGAGUUGUUAAUACAUUAUGAGCCUUAACACUCAGCUAGCUGGAAACUUAAAAGAAGAAAACAAAGAACUGGUUUCCCUGCCGACUCUUAUUCUUUAGCCUACCCGUUCCACUUUUCCUCAUCUCUCUAUGUAGUAAAUUUUAUAAAACCUUAAAAGUUCACCAAACUCUCCUAUUUCGGCAAUGGUCAACUGUUGGGGCAAAAAAUUAAAGUAGAAGAUUGAUUUGAGAAGAAGUCUAGAGCACCAAUAAUAAGAGAAUGCUGAAUUUCUAAAGCAAAAACAUCAUCAAAUUCAAGUAAAUUAUGAGGUAAGCUGUGAGUUUUUGUUAUGUUCAUAACAAAUUAGUUAAUCUAUGUUAAAAUUUAUAUAAUUGUUGUGUUGUUUGGUUGAUAAUCGGUUGGGAUUGAGCUGUAUAUUGCUAAGGAGGAUUUGAUGCAGGUUAUAUGGAGUUAUAAGGAAGGAAAUUCUUGACUUAACCAUCUGUAAGUGUUUGUGAAUUCUGUUUUUAAAAAUGGCACACAGAACAUGUUCGAUAAAAUGCUUCUUAGAGGCUGUCAAGUCUAAAAUGUUCGAUAAAAUUCCGUGUUUGUGAUGUUCUGGAUUUCGUUAGGGAAACGGCUCAUGUUUAAGGACUUGGACUAUAUAGACAAGGAGAUGUCAGGGUUUUUCAAGAAGAGGGAGAUUGAAAGUACAAUAUUUGGUAGUUAGAACAAGUUAAAAGCUUGAAUAAAUCAUUCUCAGUUUUGCACAGAAAAGCAGUUUGGAUUUGUAAGAUUUUGGAUUUGUGGAUUUGUACUUUCUUUGUGUGAUUUGGAUUUACAAGUGACUUGGUUUUGUAUUUGUACUUUUAGGUUUAAAGGUUUCCAUACUUUUACUUUUGGGUUUACAGCAGAUUUGGCGCAAGUCCGCUAGAAUUACUAGCGAACAUAUUAAAAAUAUUUCAAUUACGUGUUUUAAUGGCCUGAGUGAGGACGAAUUUGUCUAAAAUUGUUUAUUACCGCGUCCGCUAGAAAUACUAGCGGACGGUGUAAUAUAUUUUUUAAUCCCAACCUUUUAUUUUUGGAAUGGAAGGUUAAGAUGUUAUAUGCUAUUUUUUGAUCUAUAACAAAUAAAUGAUAUAAAUCACUCCCAUAUAUAUAUAUAUAUGCAUCCACCCACCUACCAAUCAAUCCCUCACACCCCAUACAAACACAGAUGUGUAAUAUACGCACAAGAAUAUCAUAUAUUCUUAAUUUCUCACGUUCAAAUUAUUAACAUAUAUAAAUAUAUGGGAUAUGACGACAUGUUCCAUAUAAGUAAAUAUCCAUACAAGCAUAGAACUUUUGGGGCGGCUAAUGACUUGUAUGCAUGAAUAAAAUUGAAGACAGAUGUAUGGUCAGACGCUGACAUGCGUUACAAUCAACUCACAGGUCUCAAUAUGAAUUUUGACUCUUCUUAUAUCAUGUUAUGUGCAUAACGAUUAUUAAAGAUAUAAUUUUUUGUCUUUAAAAAAUAAAACAAAGUAUAUAAAAUGAAAAAUAAAUAUGUUAUUUAGUGAAAUUCAUUAAUAUAAAAAAAAUAAAAAUAUUUAUUAUUUUAUAUAAUCUUGUAGAAUUAUUAUGAAUAAAUUUUAAAAAAAUUCUCUUCUUUUACUAGUAUUAAUAUAUGUAUGUAAUUUGUAUUUUGUUCAUUCUUUUAAGGACGGAGGGAGUAAGAUUGACCGUCAAUCGUCAUACUAAUCAAACCGUUUAGUGCAACUUAAUUAUAUAAUAUUUAUCCAACAACAUGAAGCGGAUAAUCAUAAAAUUCACAAGUAGAAUCAUGAUGGCGCCUAUUUUAGUUGACAUCUAAUAGGAAAAAUUUGUAUUAAACCAGAAGUGAACUAACUGCAGCAUGCAUCCAGUAAAUAUAUAUUGCAAAAGGCAGAAAAACAACACAACCCCAAUCUUAAUAUCAACUCCAGUACUUAAUUGCUCAAUCUUCUGGAUUUUGGGUCUUCAUCUCUCUUUAUACUAACCAAUUCUGUCUUGCCACGUUCCUCAUGUACCAUAUAUAUAGAGAGAUAUGCUGAUGGAUUACUUUUAUUGUCCUAUCCAAACAAUAAGUGCACCCGGUCCAAUUGGCUAGUACACAUUACUAAAAUAACCACUUGUACCCAUACCAGCUAAAGGCUUUCGAAUUCUCCAUACUUUUUGACUUUUCACAGAAGGAUCAUCAACACAGACCCAACCAUGCACCAAAAAGAUGCUUUAUACAGCUUAAAAGUUAUAAAAUCUCCUUCAUAUUUACCUAUAUUCUUGUAUAUUUAUGCUGACCUGUUAAUUUUAAUUUCCUACGUGGCUGGAGCACAUAUUACCGCAGACAUUCAACAUCCGGUUAUGCACACACUGCAGCCAUCACUCCACACUCCUCUCGUGGCUGACUUGUGCCAAAACGAGACUAUCGCCUUCUCAUACCAUUAUAUAACCAUAUAGCCUCACACUUCCAUUCAAACUCAACCCAAACCAGAAAAACGUAACCUAGUUUUUUCAUCUUCUAGCUAGUCUGAGUCCUGUCUGAUCAUCAGGCAAACAACAACCCGCUUAUUCAAAAAAAAAAAUCAUUUUUCAUACCAAGAAUUUCAUAAAAAUGUCUCUCGUUUCAAAAACCAUUGGCCCAUGGUGCAAGAAGCAUGCAGAUGGAGAUGAUUAUGGAUAUGACUAUGCCCCGGCAGCACACAUAGAACAAGAUGGAGACGAUGAUGAUGGAGAUUACGAUUAUGCUCCAGCUGCAUCCUUGGAAGGUGAUGAUGACGAUGAUGGUGGUUAUGAUUAUGCUCCAGCUGCAUGAAUGAAUUAUACUGUAGUAGUGUAAACUCAUGACAGAAUGCAAAAGAGCUCGACUAUUACUCCUAGUUACAGAGUUCAUAAACAUCCUAAAUUUUGUAGCUAACGAUGAGAUCAAGGGCAUUAUAUUAGUCUAUGGUCGAUCUUGAUGCUGAUGGGGCCUAGCUUAUUAUGUAUGGUGGGUUAGAGAUUCACUUUUUCUAGUAGUUUUGAUGACUAGAGAUCAGCUUCUCAUAACUAUGUUAUUCAUCUAUAUAUGAAAUUGCCAUUUCAAUUAAUAACAUAAGGGUAUUCAUCUAAAUCUAAUGAUUCAUUACAUACGUACGGGUAUUCAAUAAAAGAUUAUAUUAGAACUAUUUGGAGCUAGCUAGCUAUAUUUGUUGCCAAAUAAAUAAGCUGUCUCUAGAGCUGCUAGCGCCUGUUCUUUUUGUUACACGAACAACAAGAUUUUGAUUAGCUUUCCUGGUUGUCUGCUAGUGUUAUUUAGUGGGAUAAUACGAUACAGUCUCAUUAAGUGCAUUGUGAGAACCAACUAUCUUUACUCAAUUACAAGAAAUAAUUUCUUAUUCUAGGCUAGCAUUAAG
rnacentral:lncRNA from 1 species